ACUAUAGAAUUUGAGCAAUCUAAGACUAUGCAUCUUUGCAAAGGUUUCAGAACUCAAGUGCAUCUCUCUUAUUUUAGACAUAUUAAGAACUAUGCCUUCAAUCAUUUGAGUCCCCAUGUUUUUGGCCAGUACUUGGAAAAUAUCAUCAGGAAUCCACAACCUACUACGUUUGCCAGGAUCUUUAGAUUCUUCUUGUACAAUUUCAUGACCCAUUUCUUUCAGCAAAUCAUGCAUCAACAAACUAUUAUUUGAAAUGGUUAUAAGAGCUUUAUCCUCAAGAACUGCAAAUGCUAUAUCU
rnacentral:misc_RNA from 1 species